rnacentral:lncRNA from 1 species
CACCCUCCUUCGUCACCGAAGGGCUGGGAUGCAGCACUUUUAAUUAGAAAUUAAUUAAUGAGCAGCUGCUUCUUCCCACCCCACAGUAAUAAUUAGUCUCAAUUACAAACAAGACAUAUGAAGGGACACACGACUGAGUCUUCAUUUAAGAUUUAAUCAACAGUUAAAAUUAGCGCUAACGCUGCCAAUAAAGCCCGUGACAUACGGCCUGCGUUCUUUUUCCAGCCUCUCUUCCCGACGUGUGAUUACAGCUGGAAGACUGCCUCCCAGAAACGAAUCUGCCCACACUGACAGCUCGAUUGAGGGUGAUUGAUGACUAUCUGGAGACCACAGUACACAUAAUAUAAUAUCUGCUGCGUAAUUGCUUUAAUUUACAGAUGAAAAUAGUACUUCUCGCACGGAGUUAGACUACGGCGCGCGGCUCUUUAUGGCGCUUUGGAGUGUUUGCAAAUAAAGGCUAUCAGAUGCAGCACAUGCAAAUCGCGCUGACAGCUCGGGAGAGACGAGUGGAGAGCUGCAACCAAACGGCAUUCAUAACCGGGUCUGAAUUCCGUAUUGAUUUUGGGGAGCGGGGAGAAAACGCCAACCCCUUCCUCACCUGAGCUGCCAAUUUCUCUUUCUCCCUG